rnacentral:rRNA from 1 species
UACAGAGGUCCCGAGCGUUGUUCGGAUUCAUUGGGCGUAAAGGGCGCGUAGGCGGGCUCGUAAGUCAGGGGUGAAAUCCCACGGCCCAACCGUGGAAGUGCCUCUGAUACUGCGGGCCUCGAGGGGGAUAGGGGCGUGCGGAACUCAGGGUGGAGCGGUGAAAUGCGUAGAUAUCCUGAGGAACACCGGUGGCGAAAGCGGCGCGCUGGAUCCCUUCUGACGCUGAGGCGCGAAAGCCAGGGGAGCAAACGGG